rnacentral:rRNA from 1 species
CAGCCGCCGCGGGAAUACGGAGGGCGCGAGCGUUACCCGGAUUUACUGGGCGUAAAGGGCGUGUAGGCGGCCUGGGGCGUCCCAUGUGAAAGGCCACGGCUCAACCGUGGAGGAGCGUGGGAUACGCUCAGGCUAGAGGGUGGGAGAGGGUGGUGGAAUUCCCGGAGUAGCGGUGAAAUGCGCAGAUACCGGGAGGAACGCCGAUGGCGAAGGCAGCCACCUGGUCCACUUCUGACGCUGAGGCGCGAAAGCGUGGGGAGCAAACCGGAUUAGAUACCCCUGUAGUCCCUGUCUCUUAUAU